GAAGAUCAAGGAGUAAAGAUGACUGGAAGAUGUUAUUGACCAGAGUUAUUUAAUUUGAUCGUGGUCAAAUUCUAUGGAUGAAGACAAUGGAUUCACAAAGGAUGCCUUGAUUGCUUGGAAGUUAAAGUUCAUGAUCCAAAGAAAGAUGGCAAGAAGGCCCAUUUCAAAUGUCAUAUUUUAGAUGCACCAAAUGCAUCUACAACAAAAGAAAAUGAGG